rnacentral:rRNA from 1 species
CCUACGGGAGGCAGCAGUGGGGAAUUUUGGACAAUGGGCGAAAGCCUGAUCCAGCAAUGCCGCGUGCAGGAAGAAGGCCUUCGGGUUGUAAACUGCUUUUGUACGGAACGAAACGGGUCUGCUUUAAUACAGUGGGCUAAUGACGGUACCGUAAGAAUAAGCACCGGCUAACUACGUGCCAGGCAGCCGCGGUAAUACGUAGGGUGCGAGCGUUAAUCGGAAUUACUGGGCGUAAAGCGUGCGCAGGCGGUUAUAUAAGACAGUUGUGAAAUCCCCGGGCUCAACCUGGGAAUUGCAUCUGUGACUGUAUAGCUAGAGUACGGUAGAGGGGGAUGGAAUUCCGCGUGUAGCAGUGAAAUGCGUAGAUAUGCGGAGGAACACCGAUGGCGAAGGCAAUCCCCUGGACCUGUACUGACGCUCAUGCACGAAAGCGUGGGGAGCAAACAGGAUUAGAUACCCUGGUAGUCCACGCCCUAAACGAUGUCACGUGGUUGUUGGGUGCAUUAGUACUCAGUAACGAGCUACGNGNGAGUAGACGCGNGGAGGUAACGGUCGCGAGUUAGUAACGUUACGAAGAGUUAGNGCGNGAGAGAGCGACGACGACGACGAGGAGGAGG